rnacentral:tRNA from 1 species
GCUUCCGUAGCUCAGCUGGAUAGAGCAACAGAUUUCUACUCUGUGGGUCGCUGGUUCGAAUCCAGCCGGGGGCGCCA